rnacentral:rRNA from 1 species
UACAGAGGGUGCAAGCGUUGCUCGGAAUCAUUGGGCGUAAAGGGCAAGUAGGUGGUCUCAUUUGUCUGAUGUGAAAGCCUUGAGCUUAACUCAAGAAGUGCGUCAGAAACGGUGAGACUCGAGUUCUGGAGAGGGUCGUGGAAUUCCCGGUGUAGCGGUGAAAUGCGUAGAGAUCGGGAGGAACACCAGAGGCGAAGGCGGCGACCUGGACCGGUACUGACGCUGAUGCGCGAAAGCGUGGGUAGCAAACGGG